rnacentral:misc_RNA from 1 species
GAUGAAGAACGUAGCGAAAUGCGAUAAGUAAUGUGAAUUGCAGAAUUCAGUGAAUCAUCGAAUCUUUGAACGCACAUUGCGCCCGUUAGCAUUCUAGCGGGCAUGCCUGUCCGAGCGCCAUUUCAACCCUCAGGGUCCCCGUUCCGGCGGGGAACCUGGUGUUGGGGAUCGGCCCGCCCCGUGCGGCGCCGUCCCCCAAAUUCAGUGGCGGUCUCGCUGCAGCCUCCCCUGCGUAGUAGUUACAACCUCGCAUCGGAGCUCAGCGCGGCCACGCCGUAAAACCCCCGACUUUCUGAACGUUGACCUCGGAUCAGGUAGGAAUACCCGCUGAACUUAAGCAUAUCAAUAAGCGGAGGA